rnacentral:lncRNA from 1 species
AAGUUUUUCUACUGAGUUAAUUUUUUUAAGAUAAUUACGUUUAUUUUCUUUAUAUUAAGAGUUGUUUUUUUAAUUUAAUUUAAUGUAUUAUUUAUUUAUUUUAUUAUUUUCCACAUGUAAUUAUCUUAUUGGGUUAUCUAAAUAAUAAAUUACAUCUCAUUAAAAAUAUUUUACAUAUGAAAUUUCACAUCAUCUCCAUUAACUUUUUUAAUAGUACUUUCAUUAAAUCUAUUAGAAAAUAUAGAUUGAAAUAAAAAUAGAACAAAGGUUGAAGGCCAAAAAAGGCUCAAAAAUACAAUUAGGGUCAUUUUGACAAAACAUGUGUAAAUGCCCAAAUUUGACCGGGCCCAAUAAGCCCAAAUCAGACAAAACAAAAACAAAAACUAAAUUUAAAUGUCCAUAAGUCCAAAUUACAUAACCCAAAUUUAAAACCCAAACCUAAUACAACCCAAUAGCCCAGUUACAAGCCCAUUUACAAAAUAACCUAACCCAAAUACCCCUGGCCCAAAUGGCCCAAAACUUAAACAAACUUCAGCCAACUAAGAACCCUAGCCUAACGCCUGCGCCGCAACUAGCCUCUAGCAGCCUCCAGCACCUCCAUACGCUGUACGCCGUACACCUCCACGCCAAGCGCCACGUACCACCGUGCCAACUGGCCUCCGUACCUGCGAAGAAACAGACAAGCACAACAGCAAGGACAAAAAGAAAUUGUAUUUUUCUUUUUCAUUUUCUUUGUUUCGGCUAUAAAAGCCAUGUAGUGACCAUUGUAUGUUGAUUACGCGCACAAAAAUUGAAUACAAAAAAUCCAGGAUUAGAAGGUGAUUUCUGUUUUUUUUUAUUUCUGUAAUUUCUCUCUAAUUUUUUUUCUUUUUCCAUUUCCUUUGUGAGUUAUUUCUUCAAAUCUGUCAUCAUCGCAUUGAAAAAAAAAAAAGGAGAGAGGUUUACCUUCGUGGAUGCAUCGUCCGGGUCCUCGUCUCCUCCGUCGAAAUCGAAGUUUGAGACGGGGAUUGUCGGGUGAAAAUGAACCUUAAAUCUCUACUUUGAUGGAGAUUAGGAGGGCCUUCGUAUCAUUCUCCAGUUAUGAUGGUGAAAUGGUGUUUGAAGAGCGAAGGAAAAUGGAGCCUUUAGGGCUGCUGAACUGUGUCGAAACCCUAGCAAAUGGGGAUCUAAUUUGCUGCUUGCGAAAAUGGCAGCUUGCCAUUCAUUUUUUUUUUAUAAAAUGAAACGGCGCCGUUCGGUAGAAAAGGAAUCUGCGCAUUGACCAGUCUGGAGGCCCGGAUCCGCGCCUUUUCACCCUGAAAGGUUAAUUUGCGCGCAUGGUCCCUUUCUUUGUGGAGCCGUUCAAUUGAACCUGGUUUUGAUCUCUUUGUUUUUUUUUAAUUUUCCCGGGAAUUUGCGCACUGUUUCAAUUCGGUCCACGCCUAAGCGCCGCAUUUCGGACUAGGGACAUUUGCAUUCUUAGUCCCUGUUUGUUUGGGUGCAUUUAAUUAUGGUCAUUAAUUCUGUUUUAAUAAUUAGAUUUAUUUAUAAAUUAUUUUUUUGGUUUUAUUUUUAUUUCAAUUGAUUACUUUCUAUUCCAGCUUAUGUUUUAUUUUUAAAAUUAAUUUGUUAUUCAUCUUUUAAUAUAUUAUCUCGAAUUGUUUUAUUAAUUUUCAUGUUCCUAAUUCAUUAUUUUAUACUUUCAUUUGUAUAUAAAUGUAUAUAUAUAUUACAAUUUAUUUAUUUAAAGUUUUCUUUUACAUACAUAUUUCUACGUUUAAAGACUAAACUUAUAUUAAAUUUUUUUUAAGUAUACAUUAUCGAUUUCAUAUUACUUUAUAUUUUCUUUUUUAAUAUUUAUGUAUAUAUUUUCCUUAAAAUUUGUUUAUGUAUAAUUUGUUUAUUUAUGUAAAUUUUUAUAUUAAACACUUUCACGUAUUAGCAUUUUUGUAUAUACAUUGUGUAUAUUAAGUUUUCAUUUCAUAUAUAUAUUAUCAUUUUUUUAAUUAAUAUGUUUUACAACUUUGCAUAUUGUCUAUUUCAGUUUUUUUUUUUACAUAAUAUCUAUUUUUUAAUAAUCAUUCAUAAAUCAUUAGGUUCCCUAUUUUUGUAUAUGUAAACUAUUUCAAACCCUAGCAUGUGUUAUUCAUUUGUAAAUUUUUCAUCUAGUUUUUGAAUUGUUUUGUGUUAUAUUAACUCUUAGUGUCCAUAUUUUUUUGUAUAUUAGGUGGCGUCCUAAUUGUUAUAUUAUUUCAUGUUAUUGUUGUAUAUUGUUUAUUAGUCUUUUGUAUUAUUAUAUCAAUUAUUCUCCAUACAUUAUCGAAAUUGGGUUUUAUUCUUGGUUAGUUAUAUUUAAUUGUUUGUUAGUUGAUUAAAUAAAUUAUAUUGUCUUCAUUCAUCCAUUGUCGUAUUUUAUGCAUACUUAUAUAAUCCCAUAUCAUUGUUUUCCACUAGGUUUACGAAACGUGGUUUUAUAAUGUCCAAAUCUUUAAUAUUAAUUUCGUUAUAUUUCAAAUCGAAUUAACGCGUUUUAAGCUAGUUUUAUAAUUAUUCAUUUAAAAAUUCUUUAAAACAAAGGCAAUACUCGAUGUUUGGCAAUCCGGGAAUCGUGCCCUAUCGUGCUGGGUCGCGAUUUCCUGUUUGUUCAAAACAAUCAAAUAUUCCUCUGGAAUUUCACUCAUAUCUUUAAAAAUUCUUCAAAACGAAGGUAAUGUUCGAUGUUCAGCAAGUCGGGGAAUCGUGCCUUAUCGUGCUGGGUUGCGAUUUCCUAUUUGUUCAAAAUAAUCGAAUAGUCCUUUGGAAUGUCACUCAUGUCUUUAAAAACUCUUCAAAACGAAGGUAAUACUCGAUGUUUAGCAAUUCGGGGAAUCGUGCCCUAUCGUGCUGGGUUGCGAUUUCCUAUUUGUUCGAAAUAACCGAAUAUUCCUUUAGAAUUUCACUCAUGUUCUCUAAAUUCUAAAACAAGGCAAUGUCUAGAAAUUCGGGGAAUCGUGCCCUACUGUGCUGGGUUUCGGUUUUUUCGUUGGACUAAAUAAUUGGGCAUCCUUUUAUGAUUUUCAACAUAUAAACUUUUGGAAGUCAAAAUUUAUCGAGUUUUCGAGGGUAUAAAGGAUCGUGUCCUAUCGUGCUGGACGUGAUGUUGUAUUCCUCUAAAACAAGAGAAUUUUGACGACCAACUUGGGCUAUUCAAAUGUUUAUAAAAGGAAUCACAUUUCAAAAAACAUUUUUUAAAAUCUAAGACAUAAGGACAGUAUUUAAUCAAUUUGGUACCAAUUUUGGGCGUAAUGAGGGUGCUAAUCCUUCCUCAUACGUAAUCGACUCCCGAACCCAUUUUCUCAAAUUUCGUAGACCAAAAUCGUUGUUUUAGUAAACCAAAAUGUUCUAUUAAAAUGACCAAACUUCUUGGUGAUUCAAUCACACCUAAACAAAAAGGAUUGGUGGCGACUCCACAUUUCCAUCGAUCCCUGUAUAUUUUAAAAACGAUAAAAAUGGUUUCGAUAACAUGCAAACGUUAGUGACUAAAUUUGUCAUUAAGCCUUAAAAAAUUAAUGAACGUUGUUUAUAGGAUAUUUGAAAAGAAAAUUAGAUAAAAAGGCACAUAAAUAUUUAGUCUUAUUUAUAGAAUUUUUUUAAAAAAAAUUACUAAAAAUGCAUAGGAAAAUAACUCCUAUUUUUAUUGUAUCAGAAUUUUUUUUCUUAUUUACACAAAAGUAAUUAAGUAUAAAAUUAAAAAUUAAUUAUUGUUCUAAGAAAUUACAAAUACAAUUACAAUUAUAAACUUAAAAAACAAGUUUGUUUCAAUUGAAUUCGGAUUUAAAUAUUUGAAUUCAAAUCCCACCCAUAUUUUAAAUAGAUUUAAUUUUUCUAACAGUUUUUAAAUUUUGAUGGACAACUUAAUCCUUAAAUUGAUCUAAAAUAAAAUGAUAAAGUUUAAAAGGAUCUGCUUUUUAGAAUAUAUUUUUUUUAAAAAAAUUAGGAAUAAAUUUACAUUGAAAAAAAGGGGUUGAUGUGCAAUGAAAAAAAAAAACAUCGCAUAAUAUUAUUGGAAGGACUAUAUCGUAUACCAUAAGAAGAGUUUACCAAAUAAUUUCUUUAAUUUAAAGAGAUUACAUUACUUUAUCAAAAUUUGAGCAUCAAUUUUUUAGUUCUAAUUGCUAAAAAGAACAUUAUCUAUACUUAUUAUAAAAAUUUUUAAUAAAUUUUAUGUUACGGAUUAAUUAAAUACAAACUCGGUUGAAAAAAGAUUAAUACAUUUUCUAUUAAAUGACUAUUAUGAUGAUUCUUUUGUCCUUUUAAAUUUCAGGGACCACAAAGGGUUCAGGUUUUUUUUCUGGUUAGCCUUCAAACAGAGAUUGCUUACUCAAGCAGAGCGACUAAGGAGUAGUGUGGGAAGUGAAGCACGGUGUCUGAUCUAUGGCCAUGAAACAGAGGAUGUUUUUCAUGCUAUAAGGGAUUGUGAUGCAGCGAAAAAGGUAUGGUUCCGAAUCAUCCCUCCCCAUAAGCUAAUCUUUUUCUUUUCAAGUAAUUUACCGGAGUUGCUUGAAUGCAAUUUGGAUAAUCAACUCAAUUUAACCUGGCUAAAUGUCGAUUGGCCGUGCUUCUUUGGCAUUGUUGCUUGGCGGAUAUGGAAGAACAGGAAUAUAUACACCUUUCACGGGGUCUCGUGAAGUACAGAGGAGAUCAUCAAAGGUGCGCAUAGUUGGGCCAACCAAUACAUUUCAUCUUGCAAGGAAGGAACCCCAGUGAGACUGAGCUCGAGAGAAGAGACGAUGAAAAUAGGAAGAUUGAGUCGAUUAAGAUCCGAUGGAGCAGUUAGAUUUAACACAAGUUAUGCUGCAACAGGUGAUGUAUUGAGAGUCACAAUUGCAAAUGGUUACUCGAGUUCAAUUGCAUAUUGAGUAAAUGUUUUGUUUUUAAAGUUGAACUAUGGGGCAUCCUCGAUGGCAUGACAUUGACACAAGGCAGAAUACAUAAUGGAAUUGUGAUACAGUCAGACAAUAUGGAAGUUACGAGAGCUAUCAAUGAGUCCUUCCUGAAUGGGAUCAAAUUCUGCAUUAAUCAGGCAUAUCUUACAGGUUUUGCAAAAUGAGGAAAAUUGGUUGAUUGAAUAUGUUCCUAGAGACGAGAACAGAGAAGCUGAUAGUAUUACAGAGCUGGCUGUUGGCAGGAAGGAGGGUCUACAGUUAUAUGAAACUUCUCCUCUUAAAACUUUCUAGUAUUUCAUAAUAGUUUCCAUUUUUUUUUUCAAAAAAAAUUAAAAACCAUAUAUCAAAAAAUCAAACUCAUAUUAGAUAAAAUUUAUAUACAAUUUUAUUAUAUUUUGACAUAACCUAUUAAUUAUUUUAAUAAGACCAAACAUUAUUGCUAACAUAACAUUACAACAUUAUAGCAUUCACCAAAAACUUAAAUGAGAAAUUAGGAAGAGUAAUUGAGCUCGAGUUCUUUGUUGCUCAGACUCGAUAAAAUGAGAGCUAUAUUUGUGUCGACAGGGAAUAUGUGUUGGAUUUAUCGGAUUCUUAUAAUUGAGUGAGAAAAGAAAAAGAAAAAGAAGAUGGAAAAGAAAGAAACAGCCAAACAAAAUCAAAUGAAAAUCGAGAAAAUAAAGUUGAAUAUGUCAAAAACAAGUAGAAUGCUUUUUCUUUUCAACGUCAAUUUCAUGUGAAUUACUAUUCCUUCAACUUGGUUUGUCUUUUGCAAUCAUUACAAUAUUUGAUUAUAAUUUACUCUAAGGUGAUAAUCAAGUUUAUUGUAGAUUAAUCAUUAAUCUCUAGUAUAAGAGCCUAGUUACUGCUACUCACUCUCCAUCAACUUUCCUCCAAAUAUAGCACUUCUUUAUGUUUGUUUUGAGAAACUACCUCUCUUCUUUUGUUCUCAGUUUGUUUAGAGUUGUGUUAAUUCGCCAGCCUUUCUGCGACAAAAAAGAAUCUUGAAAAUCUCCAAGUACCAAGUAAAUCCCAUCGAUUUCUUCAACUUAGCUCCUAAGUUCCAAUGGUUAGAUUCGAUAAUGAGACAUCCUCCUCUUCCUCCUCCUCAUCAGCAUCAUCAUCAUUGGAAUCAUCUUCUUCAGUUUCUCGAGGGAAAUAUGAUGUUUUCUUGAGUUUCAGAGGUGAGGAUACCCGCAGGAAUUUCACGGAUCAUCUUUAUGCUGCAUGCAAAAGGAGAGGAAUCAUCACUUUUAGGGAUGACGAAAAGCUCGAGACAGGUGAACCCAUAGCACCUGAGCUCUUCAAAGCAAUUCAUGAGUCAUGGUGCUCUGUAAUCGUUUUGUCGGAAGGGUAUUGUUUUUCGAGUUGGUGCCUAGAAGAGCUUUCCGAGAUUAUUCAACAGAAAAACGACAAGGGACAUAAUGUCUUCCCCAUUUUCUAUUAUGUGGAUCCAUCUGAUUUGAGAAAACAAACCGGAAAAGUUCAAGAAGCUUUUCUUAAGCAUGAAAAUAAUUUCCAGGACAACAAAGAGAAGACACAAAGGUGGCGAUCUGCUUUAACUCAAGCAGCUAACAUCAAAGGAUGGCACUUGAGUAACAGGUAACUAUCAUAUUCUUUCACUUCAAUAAUAUCUUACCAGCAUCAAGUUUGAAGUUUGAGGCAUUAGCUAAGGAUUGUGCCCUUAAAGUUUCACUAAGCUAUUUCCUUUGCUUUGUAUUUGAAGGCAUGAAUCAGAACUUAUUGGAGAAAUCAUUAAAAAGGUAUCAACAAAAUUAUGUCAAACAUUUGCAAGUGCUCCUAAUGACAUGAUUGGAAUUGAGUCACGUUUGGAAGAGUUAAAUUGCAAAAUAGGCAUAGGGGAGGAAGAUGAUAGUGUUCAGAUUAUAGGGAUUUGUGGUAUGGGCGGGUUAGGUAAAACAACUCUUGCGAGAUUUGCUUAUACCCAAAUUUCAAGUCAUUUUGAGGGCCAAAGCUUUCUGGCCGAUGUUCGUGAAAUUGCAGAGAAACAUGGACUUGUUUGUUUGCAGAAACAACUUCUUUCCCAAAUUUUUCCAGAGGAAAGUUUCAACUUUUUUAAUGUUCAUGAUGGGAAUGACAUCAUACGUCAUAUGUUCUCUCAUAAAAAGAUUUUUGUUGUUGUUGAUGAUGUGGAUAACAUACAACACUUAAAAUGUUUGAUAGGCAAGCGAGCUUGGUUUGGUUUAGGAAGCAGGAUCAUCAUAACAACAAGAGACGAGCAUCUGCUGCAAAUCUACGGAGUGGAUGAUGUGUAUAAUCCGACGAAAUUGAAUGCCAAGGAAGCACUUCGCCUUUUCAGUUUGAAAGCUUUCAAAAGUGAAACACCUGCAAUGGAAUUUUUUGAGCUUUCUAAACGUGUAGUGGAAUAUGCCAAUGGCCUUCCGUUAGCUCUUGAAGUUUUUGGUUCUUUUCUGUCUGGCAGAUCAGAUGAAGUUCAAUGGAGAAGUGCUAUUGAAAGACUUAAAAAGGAGUCCAACAAAGAAAUUCUAGACAGGCUUCAAAUAAGCUUUGAUGGGUUAGAACAGUUAGAGAAAGAUAUAUUUUUAGAUAUUGCAUGCUUCUUCAAAGGAGAAAACAAAGAUAUGGUAACCAAAAUUCUUGAUGGUUGUGGCUUUUUCCCGGAUAUUGGAAUAGAUGUUCUCAUCAAGAAAUCUCUUAUAACAAUUGAUGAAGACAACAAAUUGUCGAUGCAUGACUUGUUACAAGAGAUGGGAAGGAAAAUUGUUUACCAAGAAUCUCCUAAUGAACCUGGAAAACGCAGUAGAUUGUGGGAGGAAAAGGAUACUAAUUAUGUGCUAAUAGAAAACACUGUAAGACUUCAGCACUAUUAACUGUUACUCCACCCUUGAAUAUUUGUUGAUUCAUACGAUACUAGGAUGCAAGUCUACCUUUGAACUAUUUUUGAACGUGCAUUGCACUGUUAAGUCAUUAAAUUUACCAUAUUAAUUAGUUGAUUGCUCUGGUUUUCAGGCAACGGAAGCUGUUCAAGGUCUAGUCAUCGAUUCUAUCAGGUGUAAAUUCAUACACCUAUCUGUGUAUAUGUAGUUGAUUACUCUGUAUAUUGUAAAGCUCAUUCCACUUUUUCCUUUGGUGGUUAUCAGGAAACAGAACACUUGGACUUUGAGUGCUGCUGCCUUUUUGACGAUGAACAGGCUAAGACUGCUCAGAGUCUUCAAUGUCCCAAAUUCUCGUGAUUUCAAAUAUCUUAGUAGCGAGGUAAGGCUUUUAGAAUGGCAUGGAUAUCCUUUCAAAUCCUUCCCUUCAAGCUUCCAACUAGAGAACCUGGUUGCACUUCUUCUGCCUUAUAGCCGCAUUGAAAAAUUGUGGAAGCCAAAGAUGGUAAGAGUUACUUUGUUUGAUCAAUAAUUUUGACCAAGAUAACAUAAAACACAAAAUACCAAAAAGAAAAUGGCAUUUCAUCUUUGGUUUUCUUUUUCAUUGUUUUCUUUUACAGCCUGUAUAUAAUUUAAAAUUGGUCGACCUCAAAGGCUCUAAAAACCUUGUGAAAACACCAGACUUCAGUAUGGCCUCAAAUCUUGAAAGUUUGAUUCUGGAAGGUACUGGAAUAGUAGAUUUUGAUCCUACCGUCAAGUUUCUAAGGAGGCUGAAGCUUUUGAAUUUAAGAAACUGCAAGAGACUUAGGAUUUUCCCAUCCAAAAUUGGGAAUGGAUCUCUAGAAACAUUAAUUCUUUCAGGUUGCUCAAAUAUAGAAAGGAUUCCAGAGAUUGUUGGGGAAAUGGAAUGUCUGAAAGAGCUUUGUUUGGAUGGGACUGGUAUUAAAGAACUUCCCUCUUCAAUUGGACAUCUCAGGCGUCUUAUGUUGCUAAAUUUGAAAGAUUGCAGUAAGCUUGAGAGUCUCCCAAGCAGCAUAGGUGGGUGUGAAUUCCUUAAAACUCUUAUUCUCUCAGGCUGCUCUAAACUUAAAAAUUUUCCAGAGAGUUUGCAACAACUAGAAUCUUUGGAAGAGCUUAACCUAAGUGAGACUGCCAUAACGACACCACCAUCCUUCAUUUUUCAUAAGAAAAAUCUCAAGUUUCUUUCUUUACAAGGGUGCAAGGGACCACCAUAUAGAGUACGAUCACAUUGCCGUUUUAUUUCUAGGCCCACACAAAGACUUAGUUCGAACUCUAUGACCUUGAAGCUACCUGCUAUUUUGUCUGGUUUGAGUUCUUUGAAGGAGCUGAAUUUAGAUGACUGCAACCUUUAUGAUGGGGCUAUUCCUGAUGACAUUAUCAGGUUGUCCUCAUUAGAAAAACUAAGACUUUCUGAUAACAAUUUCAGGACCUUGCCUACAACCCUUGGUGGACUUUCCAAGCUUACUGAUCUAGUACUGACUGACUGCAAAAGGCUUAAAUCAUUGCCCGAGCUACCAGCAAGCAUAAAAUUAUGGUUAGACGGUUGUGGUUCAUUGGAAGCAGUUGCAAAUUGGACUACAACUUUCAAUUCACGGGCUGAUGGAUAUAUUUGUGCUUUUAACUGCUUCAAAUUGGCAGAGGGUAACGAUGCUGUAGCAAUGCUGAAAAGAUGUAUUCAGGUUGGUGUUUUUGUUUUUAUUUUUCUCUUAUCACUCCCAUUGAUUUAUUUACUUAUUAUUUUUCUCUAUAGCUCCCAAGAAGUUAUGGUUCUAAAAAUACUAAUUAUCAUUUGCUUUGUUUCAUAGGAAGGUGCAAAGGUAAGAACAACAAAUUAUGACAUUAUAAUACCAGGAAGUGAAAUUCCAAAAUGGUUUACUAAUCAGACGGAUGACCCUUCGGAUUCAAUAAUAAAGAUACAAUUGCCUCCAGGUUUUCUGAUUGGUCGCCAGUUAGUAGGAUUCGCCUUCUGCUGUGUUUUCUUCUCUAACUUCGAUAAUAAACCUAGGAGGGGGGAGCAUAUUUCCCAUACAUCUGUUAUCCAUGGUAGAAAUUUCUCUCGAGAAUUUGGAAGAUGUGACUUUCAUUUAGAAGGUAAAUCUACGAGGGUAGGUGAGGUCCACCUUUGGCUACAUUUUAUGCCUUGUAACCAGCUGCGCUUGUUUUCCUUGGCAUUUGAAUGUAAAGGACAAGAGAUUUCUGAAUUCAUCACAUAUGUGCUGAAGGAAAGUUCUGAAAUUGAGGUUUUCUUCAAAAUCUGGGGUUUCCAUUCCAAGCUGAAGAAAUGUGGGGUUCGGAUGGUGUACAAAAAAGAUUUGGAAGAGAUGGACCAAACCGGAGAUGAGCAGCAAAUCAGACCAGCUUCUUCAAAUUUUAGUGAUGCCAGUUCAAACAAUGGAUCAACCAGGAAUGAUAUCAGUUCCCCCACGCAGAGAAAAUGGUUUAGUAUCUACUUGUUUAUUAUUUUAUUCCCCAAAAUCAUCAAUAUUGAUACAUACAUACGUACGUACGUAAUGUAUGUAUGUAUGGUAUUGUCAUCUCUUUUAUAAGGCUAAUUUUCUUACGUCUGCGUGCUUUGAUUCCAGGUUGAAUGACAAAGCAAGUCAUCAGUGGAUCAAACCUUUUUUCUGUCACUACUGUUUAGCAUAUAUCGGAAACGAUCGAUUACUCACUCAAUUCUAGGUUUUUUGAUAUCAUAUAAAAAAUUAUUUAUAGUCCUUCGUCAACUCAUAAAUAAAAAGAUAAUGCGUUUUAACGCAUUCGAACCUCUAGCCUCCUACUUUUGACAUAAAUAGUUAAAAUAAACCAGUUAUUAUACUGUGUAUCUUUUGUAAGGUAAUUAUCUUUAUAAUUUCGAUUUCUUCCUACAAUUUAACUAGUCGGUUUCUCAAUUUUAAUAUUUGAUUUUCAAAGUAAUUAAUAGUUAUAUAAGUUUAAAAUUAAAAUCAAUAUACUAAUCAAAUUUUAUUUUUAAACAAUUUUUUAUUCAGUUUUUUUUCUUUAUCACCUCGAUCAAGAUGGCCUAUUAAUGAUGGCUAUAAAUAACACUUGAUUGUUGGUUAAUUCAUUGUCGUGAAUGACAAUAAAGUGUUAUUUAUAUGCAUUUCUAAAAGUCUAGUUUCAUGUGAAUAUAUAUAUGUUUAUAUUUUUUUAUUUAAUAAAAUAUUUUUAUUUAGUAAUUAUUAUUAAAAAUAAUUAAUAUAUAAUAUUUAAAAAAACUUUAAGAUCAUAAUUAAGUAAUUCUACAACAAUGUUUAAAAGAUGGACAUAGAUGUAAUUGUAAUUUUUGUGUAUGUUUCUAUUGUGAUUUUGUCAAUUAAUAAUAAAAUUAAUCUCAACUUAAAUAAAAAUUAUUUAAAACAAUAUUUUUUUGUUAAUUAAAUUGAAUAGUUUAAAUUAUAAUGAAAUUGUAGUUGAAGGUAAAUUACUUUUGACACUUAUCGUGAGUUUGAGUACAGGUAAAAUAACAAUUCUAUCAUGAAAAUUUAUGUAAAUAUCUUAAAAAUUAAAUUCUAAAAUAUUAGAUUUUAAUUUAAUUUAAUUUGGGUGCGUACAUUGAUAAAAGAAAAAAUUAAUUAUGAUUUUAAUGUAUUAAAAUUAUCGACUUAGCUAUUAAUUUUUAAAUUUAAUAAAAAUUAAAUUAAAUUUUUAAUUUUAAUAUAAUUUUUUUUAAAAUUUUAUAUUUAAAUCUUUUUCUAAUUUAAAACUGAAUAACUAUAUUAUUAAUUAAAUUCAAAAUGUAUUAAAUAUAUCUAAAUUAAACUUUCUUUAAGUGAAACAACUAUUGAUAUUAUUAAAUCGUUUAAUUGUAUUAUAAAAAAUAUGAAUUAAAUUAAAGAUAUUUUUAAAAACUUCAGCUUUCUAACUAAAAUAAAGUAAUAUUUAGACAAAUAAAAAAGUCAAACUUCCUAAAAAUUUAAAAUAAAAUUUAACUUAUAAAUAAAUAAAAUUUAAUAUUUUUCCUCCAAAAUUUUACUCCCCAUUUACUUUCCCUUAGACUUUUAUUCCCAAAAACUUUUUAUUUUCCCCCUAAACUUUUACUUUUCACCCUUUACUCUCAAAUAAAAAAUUAAAAUUAUCCAAAAAAAAUCACUAAACAUAAAUAAUAAUAAUUUUAUUUAUAUAUACUAUUUAUAUUAUUAAAUUAAAUUUCACAUUUUAUAUUAUUUAUUUUAUUGAAUUGUUUAGUCAUAUUGAAUAUUUAUAUUAAAAUUGAAUUAUUAAUUAUGCCAUAAAAUAUUCGUGUUAAAAUUUUAUAUUGGUAUCAAUUUCACAUUUUAUCUUUAAAAUAAAUUUUAUUAAAUUAUUAAUUAUGCUAUAAAAUAUUCGUGUUAAAAUUUUAUAUUGGUAUAAAUUUCACAUUUUAUCUUUAAAAUAACUUUUAUUAAAAAAUCACAUUUUUACAUUUAAUAUAUUUUUUAAUUCCAAAAUACAUAGUGACAAUAAUCUAAAGAUAAUUGACACAACUAAGCAAGCAAAGAAGCUAACUCGUAUAUAAAGGAUUAAUAAAUAAAUUAUGACGUGAUGAAAUUUAAUAAAAAAUUUGAUUAAGGUGAACAAAUUUUAUUAUGAUAGGUGAUAGUGGUUACAAGUACCCAAAAUUAUUUUUUAAAAUUUAACUCGAACAAAUAUAUUCGAUUCGAUUCGAUUCGAAUUCCAUCUCACUCGACUCGAUUCGAGAAAAUUUCAAAUCAAAUUAGGAUGAUAAAAUAUGAUUCGUCAACUCGAUUAACUUGAAAUUUUUUCAUUUGAUUCGAUCGAACUCUCACCCCUAAGCGCAAGAGCCAGUAGUUAGAGGACAGAGUUCACGGGGAAUAGAGUUACCAAGUCAAGUCUUAGACUUGGAUAAUUUGGAUGUGAGGGAUGAAGAAAGAAGUAAAAAGCAACAAAGUAUACCGAGACUUUACAGCUAUUCUAUGACAACGAGGAAAGAACUGUAAAGAUUUCAUCAGCGUUGGUAAUAGAAGACAAGAGCAUACUGAUUCAGUGUCUGAAGGAAAACUUAGACGUUUUUUCUUUGUUAACGGUAGACAUGCUAGGGGUAGACCCUCAAGUGAUCGUCCACAAGCUAAAUGUGCUCCCAGAGUAAAAACUGAUUAAGCAGAAGAAGAGGAAGUUUGUUCUGCAGGUGGCAGAGAUAGUAAGAUAAGAGGUAGCUGAAUUGUUAUCAGUGAGUUUUAUCAAGGAGGUUGAGUAUCCAGAAUGAGUCUCAAAUGUGGUUAUAGUGAAAAAAGCAAAUGACAAAUGGAGAAUGUGUAUUGAUUUCACUAACCUUAACAAGGCAUGCCCUAAGGACAGUUUCCCUCUACCUUUGAUUGACCGUUUGGUUGAUGCCUCUGCAGGUCACAGAUUCAUGAGCUUCAUGGAUGCCUUCUCGGGCUAUAACCACAUAUUGUUGGAUCUGGAUGACUAGGAAAAGAUAUCAUUUAUCAUUGAAGAAGGACUUUUCUUGUAACACCAUAUACCUAGCCUGGUCGCCAAGCCCAAAUACGGGAUGCCACACCACUGUCCCGUCUCAUGUACAUCGAAUAGGAAGCUAGAUUCAAGCAAACCAGUCAUCUUUUGUUAACUCGUAUAAGUUUUAAAACGUCCCAAUAGUUAUUUAACAUCGUUACAUGCAAAUCAUUCGCUAAUUGAUCAUACACUCAGCCAGAAUUAUGUAUGUGAGCUAAUUAGCAAAAUUCCAUAAAAAUGUCCGUAGGUAUCGAUACUUGAUUAGUAUUGAUACCACUUGGAAAAACGAUACCAAAUAAGCUUAUUAUUUCUCGAUUAAAAACCCAACUAUCGGAAAAUAUCGGUACCACCAAACAAAGUAUCUAUAUUUAUUCCCUAAGUAUUGAUACUCGAGCAAAGGUAUCGAUACUAAAUCUCUAUUUUGUUUCCUGUACGUUUUAAUUCACAGAGGUAUCAUAUUUUAGAGUUAUUUUCACUUAUUCUACUUUGGUGAAGUAGUACCUUAUGAAACAUAUUUCGUGAAACAUAUUUCAUAAUGCAAUUUAUUCUUAACAAAGAAUUGUUUUUGGACGAAAGCUAUUCCCGAAUCAGGGUUAUUUUGAUUUGUUCAAAACAUGAGCUAUUCUCAAAAUAAAAAUUACUUUGGAUAAAAGUUGUUCCAUAGUGAUAUUUUUCUAUGAAGAACUUGCUCUAAUAAUGGCCCUGGUUCUAAAUAGAAAUUGUUUCAAAUAACUAUUGUUUUGAGCAUAAUUAUUCUGAAAACGCCAUUAUAUAAAUGGUAGUUAUUCCAAAUUUCAGUUGUUCUCAAAUUACAAGCACAUUAAAUAGUAAUUAUUCUAAAUUAGAGUCAUGUUUUAAAUGUAAUGAUUUUGAAAAUUACUAUCAUUAAACAAUUAUUUUUCUGAAUAAACAGCAGUGCUUUAUUAUUAACAUUUGAAGCACAAAUCUCAUGAAACAUGAUUUUUUUUUAUAUGUUAAAAGAUAGAAAUAUUAAUAACUACCUACAACAAUAAACAAGAUAAAUUUACCUUACACUAAUGUCAUUUUUUUUUCUUCCAACAAAGUUAACUGCACAAGAAUUAUUGAUCAUUGAUUAUUCCUACAUGUUACAAAGCCAAGGUGCAAUAAUCGAAUAACAAACAUAAAAUUAUAAAGCUUCCAACUAUCAAUGGAGCAAAAAUUAUAAAUAGUAAUUAAUAAGGAAAUGGUUAAAUUAUGAUAUUAGUUUUUGUACUUUGUGAAAAUUAUAGAUUUAAUCUUUGUACUUUAUUUUGGUCACUUUUAGUCCUUACGUUUUUCAAAUUUUAUAAUCUCAAUCCUCGCCAAAUGAUAAUUGCUAAAUUCAUUAAUUUCUACGCUUUUCAAAAUCUAAUGUGAUAAACAUAUUCUCAUGUGUGUGAUACCAUAUCAACUUGUUAUUUUCACGUAUUACUCACUAAAAAUCCAGUUAAUGGAUUAAUGAUUAUCAUUUGCGACAAAAUUGGAAUUUCAAAAUUUGAAAGCAUGAGAACUUAAAAAUGAUCCAAUUGGAUAAUAUGGGCUAAAUCUCCAAUUGUAUGCAUAGUAUAGGACUAGUAAUUGAAUUUAACCAAAUAAAUUGAUUGUUAUUGUUUGGGUCAAGACUAAAAUUUCAAAAUUUGAAUAGUACAAAAGCUAAAAUUAAUCAAAUAAAUUACAAGGACAAAAUCCACAACUUUUGCAAAGUAUAUGAGCUAAUAGCAGAAUUUAACCUAAGUAAAACGCUUUCAUCUUGGCAAUCAUUAUUUUUUAUUUCCAUGAAUGGAUUGCAAUGUUUUUUAAAUUGAACUAGUGGUUGAAUUAGUCAACCAUCAGUUGUCGAUUCAAUCAAUCUAAUCGAUUCAAUUAAAAAUUAUUACAAAUUAUAAAUAAAUAAAACCUCUACACGUGUGACAACCCUAAUUAGACCCUAGUCGGAAUGUGGUUUCGGGACUACAAAAUUGAGUCACAGAAAUUUAUUUUAAUUUUAAUUGCAUAUAUUUAUGUGUGAUGGUGUAUGUAUGAAAAAUUAAAUGUUUUAAAUUAGUCUUAGGAAUGUAAAUUUUUCUUGAAAGGACUUAGUUGAGAAAUUGAGAAAAGAUGAUAGGUAAUUUGUAAGGAUCCAAUAACAAUAAGGUGAGAAAGCUUGGGUUUGCAUGUCAAUUUACCCUUAAUGCAUGUAGUGGCCGGCCAUGAAAUGAUGUUACUCCACUAAGUCUAAUUAAAUACAUUUUAAUAUGGUAAAUGAUAAAAUAAAAUUAAUUAAAAAAAAAGGAAGGUAAGAGAGUGUUCAUCUUCUCCUUGCAAAAGCCGAAACUAAAGUGAGGGAGGAAAGAAAAUUUUUGAAGGCAUUCGGCCAACUUAGGGGUUGAUUAAGGUAAGAUUUCAUGCUAUUUUCAUUAAAUUUUAUGAGAAUUUAGUUCAUAGUUAAGUUCAUAUUCCAACCCAUAUGUUGAUUUUCUUUAUUUAGUGACAAAAUAUACAUACGGUUACUAUGGUUAGAUGUUAAGAGAUAGUGUUGAGGCUUAGGAUGGAUAUAUUAGAAGGUGAAGAAUGGACUAGCUAAUGGACAUAUGUGUUUUUGAAUAAUAGCAUGAAUAGAUGAGGAGUUUUGUUAGUUAGAAAUAUUUAGUCAAUUUGAUAUGUGGUAAAAAAAUUAAGUGUUAAAUGAAAUGAAAAUGAUAUUAUAUUGGAGUAUGUAUAUUCGGCCAUAUGAGUAAAUACAUAGAUGAUGUUAAAUUUGAUUAUGUAUAAUCGGCCAUAUAGGGUACACAUUUGUGAUAUUAUCUUUAAUUCUCUAUAAUUGAUCAAAUGGGUGAUAUUGGCUUAUACGGUUGAAUUUGAUUCAUGAAUAUGUACAUUGAAGUGAAAUAUAUCAUAGGCUAUGUUAUUUUGGAAGUAAGAAUGCAAUCGGCCUUGAGACACUUUAUAAGUAUUAGUUAAGGUUUUAAUGUUUUGAACAAUAAUGGUUGUAAGAUGAAGUGAAAAUCAGUAAAAUAUAUAUGUGAGUAAUUAGCAAGGGUGGUUGCCGUGUAUAUAUUAUAUAUGUGUGUGUUUAUAUAUGAGUGUAAUUAAAGUAUUGAUUGGAUUAUUGUUAAUAAAGUGAUAUUAGGUGGUUGGUAGCCGAAUAGCAUAAAAGCAUAAGGUAGAAUGAUAAAAAUUUUACCGUGAGUUUCUUGUGUCAUGUAAUCAUUAAUAUUAUUGGAGAUAAAUAACUAGCAAGGUAAUUAAACUAGUUAAUGUAUUUUGAUUAAGCUCAAGAACUUAAAGGAGGAGAAUCAAGCAAGGGCAAGUCGAAGGACAUCGAGUAGUUGAUUAGGGUCGUUUUAUUCGAAACAAGGUAAGUCUAUAAGCAAUUAAGGUUGUUUAUUUUAUACAUAAUUGGUAUAUGCAUAUCAUGAAAGAAUUACCCUCAUAAAAAAAAUUCUUUGAUUGAAAAGGGUAAUGGCCGAUUCUAUUUAGUUAAUUAAACCAAUCAUUUUGUAAUAAAGAAAUGACUUGGCACUAAGUGUGCGAAAAUUGUAUGGCACUAAGUGUGCGGAAAUUCUAUGGCACUAUGUGUGCGAAUAUAUAUGGCAUUGGUGUGUAGAGUUAAACUGUCGUUUCGCAUGUGGAUUUCUAAAGAACCAUGUGUGAGAGUUAAUAUGGCAUGAUAGGUAUAAGAAUUUCUUAUUCGAGCACUUCUUGUGUGAAGUUGAUUAUAUAAUACUUAGAUUUAAUGGUGAUAGUUGACUAGUAGUGAAUUGAUAAUUUAGACAUUAUGUGAACCUUUUGAUUUCUAUUUUUUUUAGUUAGUUAACUAUUACAUUUCAUUGCUUACGACUUACUAAGUUGAAUACUCAUAUUGUGUGUUUGUUUGUCUCCUAUUUAGAUGCUCUGACCCAUUUUGCGUGCUUUGGACCAUCGUCGAAGUCAUCACACCAACUUGCAACAUUUUGGUACCCUCUUCUUAGUUGUCUAAGUGAACAUUAUGGCAUGUAUAGGCUAAAAUGUAUUUUGUUUGAAUUUUGAUAUGUAUACUUCCAGCCAUGCGAAUAUGGCUUAAAUAUUAAGUUUGAAUUUGGUUAUGUUUAAUCAUGGUAUUAUUCAUCUUGGUUAUAAUGUUUAAUACUAAAAAUGCAUGAUAUAAAAUAUAUAUAUAUAUAAGCUUGAGCACUGAGAAUGUUAGAAAUAUCGAAUUUAUGUUUGGAGUGGUUUGAUUAUGAUACAUUUAUAUAAGUGAACAAUUGUAAUUUGACUAUUGUAUUUGAUCUUAAUAUUUUAAUUUGAGAUAGCGUAAUGAGUCAUCUGGUUAUGUUGGAACAUAACAUCAAAUCUUUUAAUACGGUUGUUAUAUAUCGUAAACUUAUGUGAUGGUUUAAAGUACCUAAUGAAAUGACUAUGAUAGAAGUAGAUGCAUGAAAAUUUAUGAAAAAGUAUUUGGUUCAGUAACAUCUCGUAACUCAUUCUAGCGAUGGAAACAAGUUAGGGGUGUUACAACACGUUUCAAUUUCAUGCUAUGCUUUUUAGUUUGACUGGUUGCUUGGCAAGUAGAGGGAAAUAGAAAGGAGUAUUGUUAGUUUUAAAUUUUACAUAAAAGUCAAAUCUUUCUUAGUUGAUAUCCUAAGGGCUUAGAGUUCAAUAUUUUUUGUAAAGCUAUAAUCAGCUCAUGUUUCUGCUACAAUUGAGGGUGAGUUUGGAUGGGCAGUGCGUUUGCCUGUGGUUAGUGUAAAAACAGCGGUGACGGUGAGAUUAGAUACUGUAGCGAUACUGUAGCGUGAGACAAAAAGUAACCUAAACACACCGCACCAUACGGCACCGCAGCCCCAAACGAAGCCUGAGUCUGUUUGUUAAAGGUGGAACAUUUGUUCUAGGGUUUAGAGAAGAAGGAAGUAAACUGAUUUAAGCUCCAAAGAACUCACCUUAACAACCCGUAAGAGCCCUUCCAUUGCUACUCGAUAUGGUAUUACUACUGAGAAAUUAUUGUAGGUUUUCCUGGAAGUUAAGCUCUUUCUAGUAAUUUCAGCUCCUGUCAACUUCUAGUGGGUCAUGUUAAGAUAAUUUGGGAAUCAGCAGUUUCUGUUUUAAGGUUAGUAGGAAUGGAGUGUUUGGGCAUUAAAGAAUAGGACAGCAUCAAGUUUGGAAGUGUGUGUUUAUGUAACAAGACUUUUUCCAGUGUACGUGAGCAGUGACAUUUGGGUAAUUUGCAAACAAACAUAUUAUAUUGUUUAUGGGUGACAUGGUGACACCGCACAUUGCUUUAGAUUUCUGGGCAUGUCAAGUCUUAUCCUGAAAUUUGAAUAAAGGAGAAAAAACAUGAAAGUUCAAAAUAUCUAGAAUUUCAAAGAUUCUUUAGACGAAACAGCUGGUCCUCAGAAUUUCUAGAGAUUCAACACUUUAGGCGACUAUGUUUUUUUCCUCGUUCUCACUUAUCUAAAACCAGCAAAGAGAAAGGGAAAAUCAACCAUUUUUUAAACAAAAUUUGUAUAUUAUAUUUCGCUGUUUAUACUUUCUGUGUUCAAUUUCCGUGUUCCACACUGAAACUGUCCCUCGUCGAAGCAACAUAAUAACAUAAUCUAGAAAGAAGAUUAAAUUAAUUAUUUUUUUCAUAUACGUAACCAAUAAAAGAUUUACAAAUUAAAAUAUUAAGUAAAUUCUGAAUUUUAUUAAAUUUAAAUCAUUUCGCCCCAUUAAAAUUAAUAAUUUUUUUAAUGAGAUACCAUGGUUAUUGUUUUUAGGUAUAAGCUUUUUUUCCUUAAACUUCACAAACUAUGUAAAUGAUAAAUUUGGCAACUAACAUAUGUAUAUUCUAUCAAAAUGGUCUUAUUUAUAUUUUCAAGCUUUUUUGGCCAUUAACCUUUUUUUUUCAAUCUACUUUUUCUAAUAGAUUUAAUGUAUAAAUUUAAGGUUUCAAUUUUUUUUCUUUUAAAAGGUUUCAAUCUUUCGUACGUUUGUUUACUGAGAAAUUUUUCUACUGAGUUAAUUUUUUUAAGAUAAUUACAUUUAUUUUCUUUAAAUUAAGACUUGUUUUUUAUUUUAAUUUAAUGUAUUAUUUAUUUAUUUUAUUAUUUUUCACAUGUAAUUAUCUUAUUAGGUUAUCUAAGUAAUAAAUUACAUCUCAUUAAAAAUAUUUUACAUAUGAAAUUCCACAUCAUCCCCAUUUAACUUUUUUAACGGUACUUUCAUUAAAUCUAUUAAAAAAAGCAGAUUGAAAAAAAAAACAAAGGUUGAUGGCCAAAAAAUGCUAAAAAUAUAAUUAGGGCCAUUUUGACAAAACAUGCAAAGCGUUAGUGACCAAAUUUGUCAUUAAGCCUAAAAAAUUUAAUAAAAAUUCUUUAUAGGAUAUUUGUAAAGAAAAUUAGAUAAAAAGGCACAUAAAUAUUUAGUCUUAUUUAUAGAAUUUUAAAAAAAAUUACUAAAAAUGCAUAGGAAAAUAACUCCUAUUUUUAUUGUAUCAGAAUAAUUUUUUUCUUAUUUACACAAAAGUAAUUAAGUAUAAAAUUAAAAUUAAUUAUUGUUCUAAGAGAUUACAAGUACAAUUAUAAUUAUAAACUUAAAAAACAAGUUUGUUUCGAUCGAAUUCGAAUUUAAACGGAUUUAAAUAUUUUAAAUAUUUUAAAUAUUUAAAUUUAAAUCCUACUCAUAUUUUAAAUAGAUUUAAUUUUUCUAAAAGUUUUUAAAUUUUGAGGUACAACUUGAUCCUUAAAUCGAUCUAAAAUAAAAUGAUAAAGCUUGAAAGGAUUUGCUUUUUAGAAUAUAUUUUUUAAAAAUUAGGAAUAAAUUUACAUUAAAAAAGAGAAUUUUUUUUCAUCAAUGGUAUUUUUUUUAAUAAUAUACAAAAUAAUUUUGUUAAAAAUAGCUAUUCUCAAUUUCCAAUGAGUAAUUCUUGCAAGGCAUCGAGAAAAUGUGAAAUAAAAAAAAUAUUGUUGAACAUGGUUCCUAGUUUAAAUAAUUCACUCAUCUCUUCCAAAUUUUGAAGUUUAGUAAAAAUGAAGUUUGUUUCCAAAAAUUUUAAAUUAUUCUUUUCCAAUUAAUUUUCAGAUUUGACUUUGUUUUAUAUUAAAUUAAAAUAAUCUAAUUUAAUUAUAAAUAUUAAACUAUUUUACCAAUUUUUUUAAUAAUCUCAUUAUAGAUUCUAAUAAUAAUUGUUCUUUUUAAUACAAUGUUUAGAAUUACUUAUAAUUACUUCUCAACCUAUAAAUAGGAAGAUAAUGCGUUGAAACUCACUCGAAUCCACGCACUCCUACAUUGACAAUAAUACUCAUACCAAUCAAGUUAAUACUGACAAAUUUUAUCAAAUCUUAAAAUAUUAUUUUGCCAUGUGCAACUCACAUGGCUAUCUAUUUACUCGUAUUUUUCUUGUAAAUUGGGUAAACUCAAAAACUGCUUUUAUGUAAAUAUUAAAUGUAUGGAUUAUAAAUUAUAAUUUUUUUUGGAUAGUAUCGUCUAGUCAGCAAAUCUCAAAAUUAACCUAAGGAAAAAAUAUAAUAUUAUUUUACCAUCUCGUUAAAAUAUUCUAUGUUAAUUUAAGGUCAAAAAAAUAUUUUUUUAAAAUAUUGUGUGUUAUCACAUUCUUCUAGAUGUUCAUUAUAUAAUUAUUAUUUUACUAUAUAACUGUUUUGAUUUAUUUUUUUUAACCUUGACUUUAUUGUAGUUGAGUAAGCAGAAAUUGCAGAAUUUCUUUGAUUUGGUUUGAUUGGAAAGAGAUAAAAUAAAAAAAUAAAAGAUGAAAAAUUUUAAGUAGAAUGAUCUGAUAACUUCUUUUUUCUGCUCCAUAAAUUAGAAAGGAAUUUAUUUAUAUCGAUGUAAAAUUAAAGUAAUUUUAUAUCUUUUCGUAUUAUUUUUUAUGAUUAAUAUUUUAACAAUUCACACAUUAAAAUUUUUGAUGUAAUUGUAUUUAUUAUGUACGUAAAAUUUUAAACCGAUCCAAUAUCUUUAUUAUAUCAAUCUAAAAUAUUUUAUAAAUUAAUAUUUUAUUAAAUGAAUGAAAGUUUUUUGUCUAAAACAAAUAUCUAUAAAGAUUUAUUUUGCAUCGAAUUUAACAUAUGUGAUCUAUAUAAAUAGAAUAAUAAAUUUAACGUUUGAAUUGUUAAAAUAAUAAUUGUACAAAGAAUACGAAAAUGAAUCAUUUCCCCAUUUAAUAUAUAUUAUUUCCUUAAAGAGGCUUUUGUACUGUAAUAGGUUGAUUAUUUAUUUUAAUUCUUAAUGUGUUUUUACUGUAAUAACGUGAGGUGUGAAUUGUAUUUAUCUUUCUAAUUAUACAUUUUGUUCAUUUUCAAGAAUUUAUUUAUUCAAUAUAAAUAAUUUUUAUUUUUAUUAUAUCUAAUAUUAUUGGAAUUAGUAAAAUGCAAACAAAAGAGCAUUUCAGUUGCUAAUUUUUGUUAUUUCUUUAUUUAUGCAUAUAUUAUUUUCCCCACCUUAACUCAAAGAAUUUAAUUUCUAAUUUCAUUUGUUAAAAUCUCUUUUUUUUAAAUUUCUCUACAUAUAUAUAUUUCCUUUAUAAAUUAAAUUUUACGUAAAUUUCAAUUCUAGUCCUUAUCUUUAUCUUUAUUUAUCAAUAAUCUUUUUUUAGGAAGCAUAUUCUAAUUUUACCUAAAUAGAAAAAAACAAAGACAAAAACGGUCUGAAUAAAAAAACAAAUGCCUGCUGGGUGUUCGAUAAAAGGUCUAAGAAAGAAAAAGAGUUCCACCAAGGGCAAUGGUGUACUCCGCAGGCCGCAGCUGUUUCUCUUUUUCACCCACUGAAAAUAAAAAGAAGCCACGUGUCCCUCAUUUGCUCGAUAAAUAUGAAUCUCUCCCUUUCUUUCCUUUAUUUCACCUAUUAAAUUCACUCUCUUCCGAAGGAUAAAUAUACCCAAAAAGAGAAACCGCAAAAACAAAGCUCGGAAAUCCUGGUUUUUUUUUUUUAUUCAAAGUUAAAACCCAGUUUUCAUUUUGGUCUGUUUCAGCUUCCUCUUUACCUGUAAGUUAUAUCUCCAUCUAUGUUGCAAGUUAUAUUGCUUUAUUUAUUUGUUUCGGGGUGUAUUUGUUUAAUCAUGUUUUGGGUGUUUUGGGGUUUUUUUUUCCGGGGGAUGAUUUUUCAUCUGUGUAUAUAAUGAUAAAGAAUGGAUUUCUUUUCUUCAUUUUCAAUUUGGGUGCUUGAAUUUGUUGAAUAUUUUUAAGAAACUUUUUUUCUUGAAAGAGGAGGAAGAGGAAAGAAAUGGGAAUAAAGAAGAAUGCAAUUUGGUUAUAUUUAGCUUAGAGAAUUGAUGUUUGUUCCAUUAGUUUCCUAGCUACUAGUGUUAGAAAAAAACUGAGUUUUUCAAAAUGAAAAUAUGUAAACUUUCUUCAAGAAUUGCUUCUUUUCUUUUUUAUUUAAGGUUUUCUCUUCGAAAGGUUCUAAUUUGGUUUAUAUUGCUAUGAUGGUCAUAAAGAUUCUCUGUUUUUGUUGCAUACAAACUUUUUAUUUUUCAUAUAUCUAUUUGAUCAUCUGGAAUUUAAAGUAGCAAAUUCAUGUAUUUACAAUUAAUUUAUAUAAUCAACUUGGUAUAUCUGUAUUUCCAAUGGUCCUCUGUUUUUAUGAUUUGCUUACAUGUUUAUACCUAUAUCUGAACUGUUUACAUCUUGCAGAAUGGCUAUGGAACCAAACUUCUUUGAACAAGAAUCACAUUUCGAGUCUGAUGGAGAUAUUUCACUGAAGAACAAAUGGAAUCCAAUACCAGAACCAACAAAAGACCUAGAAAAAGAUUCCAGCUGCUUCGAUUGCAGCAUUUGCUUCGAGUCAGCACAAGAGCCGGUAGUCACCCUCUGUGGUCACUUAUAUUGCUGGCCUUGCAUUUACAAAUGGCUUAAUGUCCAAACUUCUUCCCUCGAUACAGACCCGCGACAGAAGAACUGCCCCGUGUGCAAGGCAAGCAUCUCUUCCUGUUCAUUGGUUCCCCUCUACGGUCACGGCACAUCUUCACAUUCUCAACCCAAGACUCCACAUUCAGAUCUGAUCAUUCCCCAAAGACCACCUCCUUCUACAUCGAACAUGACCGCCCCUUCUUCACAUCUAAAUCAACAGCUUCACGAAAACUUUUUCCAUUCUCAGUCCCAAGCAUUUCAUAACCAACAAUACUUCCCACCUUAUGGAGGAUAUGCAACCUUGGCAUCAUCCGACCUUAGUGGUAUACCGAUGACGAAUUUCUUCCAUCCGAUGAUCGGAACUUUGGGAGAAAUGGUGUAUGCUAGAAUAUUUGGGAGCUCAAACACAAGUAUGUUUGCUUACCCUAACCAAGCUUCUUACCCAUUAAUCAGGAAUAACAAUCUUAGGAUGAGAAGGCUGGAAAUUCAGGUUGACAAAUCUCUUAGUAGAGUAUCCAUGUUUCUUUUCUGUUGCAUCAUUCUUUGUCUUCUCUUGUUUUGAGAAGUACUGAAUUUGAGCUUGUAUAGUUGCAAACAAAAUUUGUGAGGAAACCAAAUGUCUAGGUUUCUCUUAACGAUAUUUGUAUGUAUAUAGUACUCUCAUUUUUUAAGAACUGGGACUCUAAAUCCUCCAUAGAAACUGUUUAGCAGCAAAUCAAGUCUCAAACUCUUAUUAAGGGUUUUGCCUUGGGAUGUAUAUGCUUUUGUACGUCACUUUGAAGUUUCCAUUAUUACAAAUAUAUUCAUUCCCCCAUUUUAUCAAUCCUUGCUUUAAUUUAUCUCUCCACUUCAAAAUAUAAUAUUGAUUAGAGGUUUUGCAGUUGAUUUUGUCAUAUAUAUAACAAAAUGAAGAGUUGAUCAAGUAAAAGUUGAAACAAAGACCUUUAGCUAUGGUUUUACCCAUGGGUUCUAAUCAUCUAGAUUCCCCACCGAAAUUGACUCUAAUCACUUGGAGACAAGCUUUUGAUUAUAAAAAGUUUCAUGGGUGAAGGAUUGCUUUCUUUCAUUCUUUUAUUUAUUGAGGUGGUUGGUGUCCCCUUUUCACCUAAUAAAAACUCAAUUAUUUCCAUUCAUUACUCUUAUUUAUUCAUAUGGUACAAUGAAAAUAAAGAUAAGCCCCACAAAUUGAUGCCAAUGUUGCCUGACUUUCAAGAAUCUUAAAAACCAAUUGUUGUAUAAUUAACAUUUCUACUUAUAUUUUUAAGAAUUUAAUUCUUCUACUUUUUAGAUUUAAAAAUAUUAGUCUAAUUAUUAUCACGUUAAACUGUCAAUAUUUUUUUUACGGUAGAAAAAAUACAACAAAAUAGCAACUAUAAGGUAAAGAAAACGCCAAUGGGAGACAUUGGAUAUAGUAGCAAGAUCGAAAUUAAGUAAUUCUUGGACUUAGACUGGAGGUUCUUCAAAUAAUUCAAGCGACUUUGUGAUAUUUUGAAAUAAGAAAAUAUUUACUUGGUAGGCCAUGUAACAAAGAAUGAUUAAAAGAAUUCUAACGCUGUUAACAAUUAUUAAACUUGAAUUUUUGAAAUUGAGGGGUAAAUGUACAUAUUGACAUUGUUAUAUUUUCCAUAGAAGAAAAACAACUAUCAAUUUAAGAUGAAAUUAUUUCCUACAGCUGAGUUGACCCCUUCAAUAAGAAACAUAGACUUUCUUCCCCUUAACAUGCAUGGAAUAUAUAAAUUGAAAUUAGUUCGAAACGUGGUCUAAAGAAGAAGUUUGACGCUACCUUUUUUCACAUGACUAUGAAUAUGAAGCUUCCAAAUUUGAUUUCCUUUCUGAAAAUAUUUUAGUCGGUGAUAGUAUCAUUUGUCAAAUUUGCAAACUGAUCUUUUUGCCCAAAAAUUUCUUUCUCUUACCUUUAUGAGGUGAUGCUCCCACGAAACAUCUCGACAUUUUUGAAUUAAGUUUUUUUUUUAACACUUAUUUUUUCUAUUUAUUUGGUACAUGUUAUAGAUUAUAUGCUAGUUUUUGGCAUGAAUUAAAAGUUAAAAAAGGGAUUUAUUUGAAUAAAAAGAAUUUCAAAAUUUAUACAUAGAUAAAUUAUGGAUUGUUCCAGAGUAAUGAAUUUUGAUUAAAUUUAAAGUGAUUUUGUGAUUUAAUAAAUGGUAGUAUAUAUUCAACCAUUUGGAUCAAACGAAUUGGAUGGAAAGUUUCAGGAAAUGUAUCGAGAGGCUCUAUUCUUAAGUCCGAGUUAUGGGCUAUUUUAAGUGAACUAGAAGUGGCUCGAUUAAGGAAUUGUAGUAAGGUUAUUUUUGAAAGUGACUGCAUGGAUGCUAUUAAGAUGAUAAUGGAAAGUUCUGUGAAUUCUCCAUCGAUGGCCCUUGUAUGAAGGAUUAAUGAAGUCAGAAGAUAGUUAAAAGACGUUAAGUUCCAGUUUGUUUCAAGAGAAGGUAAUAUAGUAGUAUAUUAGUUUGUUAAAUCAAGCUUGACUGAUGAUGUUGAACAUAAAAAUUAGUCUCCUAGCUUUGCAAUUAGGAAUUGUUGUUAGAAGAUGAACUUGGUGACAAUUAAUUAUAUUUUUUUAGUAACUUGUUCAAUCAAUUUUUAAACAGAUUUUAAAUUGUUCAAGUCUGAUAUAAUAUAUAUAAAUUUUGGUUAUAUCAUAACGAGUUUCAUGGUAUAUAUUUGAAGAUAAUAGUUGAUGUUACUCAAAUUACAAUAGACUCACAUCAUCUUACCUUUACUCACUCCAAGUAAUAUCACAUUUCGAACAUAAAUACUACUCCAAUUUGAACAACAAAUUCUGAUCCGACUAAGCUCCAAUGAUUUCUUGAAAUGUUGGUCUAAAGUCAGAGUUAAUUUAUCACCGACGGACAGCCUUAAAAAUGUCCAACAAAGCAAAGUCUAUUAACAUUAACCAUCACAUGCACAUGUUUUUUUCUUGUCUUUAAAAGAUUCUCACCCCUAACUGUAACAAAAGUACAAUUCUCCCGUACUUUAUAUAGGACGUGAAAGCAAAUUUAAAAAAAAAAAUACAACGCGUUUUUCUUUCUCCUUUUUUUUUUUCAUAUUCAUAUUUUUUUCUAUUUUUAACCAAUUAUUUCGAAGAUAAUAAUGGAAUUGAAAUAAAUAAACAAAAAUAAAUAAGAAUUUUAGAUCUAGAUUGUAAUAAUAUAUAAUCACCGACAAACCGCGUUUGCAGCCUAUAAAAUGGAAGCUCUUUGUUCAAGAAUUUUCGUGAAGUUAAAGAAAAUUUUGUUGAUUGGUUAGAGAGAAAAUUAAUGGGGCCUUUCAUCAUUCCUUUUGUUAAGGUUUGGCAAUUGUUUUUCAUUGUUGCCACCAUUUUUGGAGGAGUCAAUGCUCAAGUUAAUGGUUGGUUUAAUGCCCAUGCAACGUUCUAUGGGGCUGACCAAAGUCCCUUUUCUCUUGGUAAGCCUACAUUUUUUAAUGGAUAAUUAAUUUCAUAAAUUUUUAUUUCUUAUAUUAUUGAUUAAAUUUUAGUUCAAUUAAUAUCAUUAUUAUUAUAAUAAUUAGAAAUAUAUGAAUUUAAAUAAUUUUUUUCUCGAUUUAAGGAUUAAAAAGAAUUAUGACAUAUAGUAUAGAAAAAUUAUAUUUAUCUCCAUUUAAGAAUAAUAAAUCCAAUAAUCUUAUAUUUAUUAUUAAAAGCAUUUGCAUGACUAAUUCUAGUAUAAAUUAUAUUUUUUUAUAUAUCUAUAUUCUAGCAUGAUAUUAUUUUUGUCUUGAUUUAAAUAGAACUGUGGUUAAAAUUUUUAUUAGACACUUAUUUGGUACGGGUUUGAACCAACCAUCUCCUACCUCUAAUAUUAUAUCGAAAAAAAUAUAAGAAUAUCCUUAUGAAUUUUAUUUAAAAUUCUUAUAAAAAAAGUUUUUUUCGUAAAUAAAUAUAUAGUCUGAACUCUUUUUUGAAAAAUAAAGUUUGUAUUUGUUAUAUUAUUUUGAAGUGGACAUACUAUAACUCAAAUAAUGUCAUAAAAUAUGGAACUUUCUGAGUUAAAUAUUAUAUCUAGAUGUAUAUAUAUAUAUAUUUGGAUAAUUAUCUAUUGAUAUGUUUCUUUUCCCCUAGAAAUGCCAAAAGUGCCCACCCAAUAAUUAAAAUUGGAGGAUAUUUGAACUUUCAAUAUAUAUAUACACUUUUACAAAUUAUUAAUUGGAUGAUGAUAUUAUUAUAUAGGGGGAGCCUGUGGAUAUGAUAACACUUUGCAUGCUGGAUUCGGAGCAAACACAGCAGCACUGAGUGGUGCACUUUUCAGAGAUGGCGAGGCUUGUGGUGCUUGCUACCAACUCAGGUGCGAUUACCCGGCCGACCCGAAGUGGUGCCUCCGUCGUGCUGGUGUCACCAUAACGGCCACCAACUUUUGUCCUUCCAACAACAACGGAGGGUGGUGCAAUCCCCCUCAUCACCAUUUCGACAUGUCAUUGCCUGCCUUCCUUCGCAUCGCCCGCCACGGGGAUGAAGGCAUUGUUCCGGUCCUUUAUCGGAGGUACGAUUAACAUUUUUGCAUACCAUUACCAAUAUCUUAAUAAGACUGUGCUUUUAAAAUUGUUUUUUCUUUAUUUGAUUUUCGAAGGGUGCCAUGCAAGAGGAGAGGCGGAGUCCGGUUCACCUUGAAAGGGCAAUCGAGUUUCAACAUGGUGAUGAUCACGAACGUCGGUGGCAGCGGCAACGUGAAGGCGGCAUGGAUAAGGGGGUCGAGAACCAGAACAUGGCUACCUAUGAAUAGGAAUUGGGGUGCAAAUUGGCAAAGCAGCAUUGAUCUAAGAAACCAAAGAAUGUCUUUUAAGCUCACUUUGGUGGAUGGCAAAACAUUGGAAUUUCUCAAUGUUGUCCCUUCGACGUGGAAGUUUGGCCAAACCUUUGCUUCAACACGACAGUUCUUUUAACCAAUAUUGCCAUUAAGACAAAUUAAUGUCUUAGAAAAACCAUUAUUUUUAAAAUUGAUGGUUUUAUAAUUAAAAAAAAGGGAUAAUGACAUAAUAAAUACGUCAUUAAAUUUUCCCCAAGUUUUCAUUUAACCAUUUGAUGUUAGCAAAAUUUAAACAUGCAGUGUUUGGGAGCAUGCAAUAUGCAUAUAUUUGUAAUUUGCUCGUAUAAGGAUUUGAAUAAAAAAUAGAAGAGGACUAGAAAAUCCAGUCCUUUUUUUUCUUCUUCUUUAUGAUAUUCUAAUCUUGCCAACUUGUUUAAAUUAACAUCUCUUAUUUACAUUGUCGCAUUAUAUUCUAAUUGAUCUAUAUCUAAAAAUUAUCAUGUUGAAAUUUAAUUUAUAUAGCAUGUGUGCAGUACAUCCUCAAAGUAUCAAAAUGUUAGAAUAUAUCCCAUGUUUUCUUCAAUCUUUUGAGAUAAAUGAAUUAAUGGAUACUUGAGUGUUUAACUAAAUUUAACUCAAAAUCUAAAAUCCUACCUUGAAGGUAAUUUUUUUUAUAUCUAUUUUACAAUUUAUAUUUGAAUAAUAUUAUCUUUAAUAUUCAAACUCAUAUUAUUUUCUAGAGGAGCAAUAUGUCAUAUCACUAUACCAACACUUACUAAUACAUUAAAAUAUCUUUCAUAUUUAUUCCAUAAAAAUUAAAUUUUUCAAAGUUCGUAAUUAUCUCUUAGAAAAUAAUUUUUUAUCAUAGCUCAUGCGUAAAAAUUUUCAUCGUCUUCAAAAAUGUAUUUUAUCAAUGGUGUCCAUCAUGUUCCAACCUUGCAAGUUUUCAAAGGCUUUCAAAGCUAGAAUCACUCAAAUUCAUAGUUGGAUUGAAUUCCGAUUACUUUCAAGUUGCGUAAAAUUUCCCCCUCAUUUUUCGAGUAUAAUUCGAAAGAGGCUUUGCUUAAAAAUAUGGUAAACCAUAGAAUCGUUCAUUAAAUUUUAAUAAGUUUUUAUUUUGUGGGAGGAAAAUAAAAAUUUACAUUUUAAGCAUUGGCAUUAAAAACUGUUCUCAUGCUGGUCACCUACCGCUAACUCAAUGUUAUUAUACACUCAUUUUAAUUAUAAUACUUUACAAAUUUUCAUUUUGGUCAUUUAUUGUCUUUUCUAAAAUUAAUUUUAUUUUUUUUAAAAAAAAGUAUACAUUUUUACUUGAAAUUGAGUUGUUCAUGAAUAGAGAUGAAACUCAAGAUUUUCCAAUUUCUUGUAAAAUUUUAAGUUUUUCUCUUUUACUGGAAAAACUUAGAAUUAAUUUUUUUUAAAAAUAAAAAUUAAAAGAUAAAAAUUCGGAAUUUUUUCUUUUACUGAAAAAAAACUAAAUUUAAUUCUAAAAAGAAAAAAUUAAAAGUUAAAAAGAUAAAGUGUUUUUCCAUGUAUCGUUUUAGGUUUUCCCAAGUUUUUUUUUACUGAAAAAAUUAAAAUUAACUCUAGAAAGAUAAAAAAAUUUAAAAAAGUAAAAUAAGUGAUCAAAGACGGAAAUUUAUUGAAACUAGAUAACUAAUAUAAAUGUAUAAUAAUAUUGAAUUAAUGAUGAUUGAUCAAAAUAAAAAUAAUUUUUAACAAUAUUACCUAAAAUGCAAAUUAUUUUAAUUUUUGGGUGAUAAAACUUAGAACUUCUUCGCUCAAAAUAGAUUGUGCCAAUUUUCGUUUAGGUCCAAACUCCCAAAGUCCAAACCCAAAUUUUGGUGGACAGUGUAUAAAUCAAUCCAGCUGCAAAACCCUGUUGGCUCAAACCAUUUUGAAAAAAAAAAAAAGAAGAAGAAGAAGAAAAAACUCAUCUCCAUGGCAUCAAGAACCUUGUUCACAAUCUUAAACAACAAGAAGACCAAAACUUUAACAGCAGAUUGGCUAGUAAUGACAAGGGCAUACUGUGUUGCACCAAACCCAGCAGGCAUAAACUCUCUUUAUUCAAGAAUCAAUGCUAUUGCAGACCCAAACUGCAGUGUAACUCCAGUUCUUCAACAAUGGGUUAAAGACAAAAAUGUCAAGGAAUUUCAGCUGCAGCGUCUCAUCCGUGAUUUACGUUCUCGUAGGCGUUACACUCAUGCCUUGGAGGUAAAUUAUUUUAUAAAGGGAAUUGAUUGAUUUUAGCAAAUGAAUGGGUUCUAUCUGUUGCAUUGCUUAUGUUCCGGUUCUUUAAAUUAGAAUAUGGAGGGUCGUCGCAAAAUAGUGAACAAGCUGUAUAGAAUAGUUAGCAAUGGAAAUAAAAGGAAAUGAAAUGUUUUGGGAUUAAGUUUUUAAGGGUUUAUGUUGAAACUUGAACCUCUAAUUGGAAAGAAUUGUUCUGAAUAAUUGCUAAGGGUUCAAAUGCCUUGCUUUGGACUGCAAUGGAAGUGGAAAGCCAAAUUAUUGACUUUCCUUGAGCUGUCUGCAAUGGAUAAUUGAAGAAUAAAGACAGAAAAGAAGCAAUUACAAUAUGUAAAACUUGGAAAAGAAGCAAUUAAUCAAAUAGAUGUCAUGGUUUUUGGUUGGAAAGCGCUUCAAUACUUAUUAAUUGCUAGUUUUAUAAUCCCUAUCGUGUCUAGGUUUGAGACUACCAUCCUGGUGCUAAAUGUGUAGAACUUCACCACUAAGAUUUACUACAAACUGCAUUUAAUUUUUAGCUGUAGAUGUGCAAACAGGUUGUGUAUCUUUAUAAUACUUCAAAUGUCUUUUUUUUGUUCUUGCAACGAUUUAUUUCCAUGCAUGGAUGCAGCAAAGUAAAACAUCCCCUGUCCUAUUACCAAUGCUCUGACAGUAUGCAUGGGUUUUAAGUUUCUGUUUUUCUUGUAUGCUUAUGUUGGGUCCUUGGCAGAGCAGGUUUCCAAAUGGAUGAGUAGUAGCGACCUUGAAUUUUCUUCAAGCGAUUAUGCUGUGCAGUUGAAUCUAAUUGGUAGAGUUAAUGGGCUAACUGCUGCAAAGAACUUCUUUAGUAGCUUGAGAGACCAAGAUAAAACUGUGAAGACCUAUGGGGCUCUUUUAAAUUGCUAUGUUCAGGUAGGCCUUAUCGAUGAGUCUCUUUCCCUUAUGAAGAAGAUGAAGGAGAUGGGUUUUCUUUCCUCUCCGCUCAACUACAAUAACCUUAUGUGCCUCUACACACACAGGGGACAAUUUGAAAAAGUCCCUGAUGUAUUGUUAGAGAUGAAGACGAAUGGUGUCUCCCCUGACAAGUUCAGCUAUAAAAUCUGCAUCAAUUCUUACGGGGCUAGAGCUGAUUAUGACAGCAUGGAGAAGGUUCUACAAGAAAUGGACAGCCAACGGGACAUUCAAAUGGAUUGGGGUACUUAUUCCUUAGCGGCAAACUACUACAUAAAAGCAGGUCUUAAAGAAAAGGCACUUCAUUAUCUUAAGGAAUGCGAGAAGAAGGUAGGUAAUGAUGCAGAAGGCUAUGACCAUUUGAUUUCAUUUUAUGCUCGUUUGGGAAACAAAGAUGAACUGAAAAGGCUGUGGGACCUUCAAAAGUCCAAAUGUAGGAAGCAAACCAACAAACACUACAUAGUAAUGUUGGGUUCAUUGGUGAAGCUCGGUGAGCUUGAAGAAACUGAAAAGUUAAUUGAUGAGUGGGAGUUGUCUUGUAAGACAUAUGAUUUCCGAGUGCCUAACGUGCUUCUUAUUGGAUAUUGUCAGAAAGGUUUAGUUGAAAAGGCAAAAGCGAAGUUACAGGAUAUAAUCAAAAGAAGGAAGAUUGCAAUCCCGAACAGUUGGUCUAUUGUCGCAACUGGAUACAUGAAUAAGAACAAAAUGGAGAAGGCUUUUGAGUGUUUUAAGGAAGCUCUUGCUAUACAGACACAAAAUAGAGGGUGGAAGCCAAAAGCAGGUUUAAUAUCAAGCAUAUUGAGUUGGCUAGGUGAGAAUGGAGAAGUUGAAGAUGCAGAAGCUUUUGUGAAAUUAUUGAGAACCAAGGUUCCUGUAAAUAGAGAAAUGUACCAUGCCCUUUUAAAGGCAUAUAUCAGAAAUGGAAAAGAAGUAGAGGGGCUUUUGGUGAGCAUGAAGGAUGAUAAAAUAGAUGAAAACGAGGACACGAUGAAGAUCCUUAGCCUUCAAGACCAAAACUCUCAAGUCACUGGGUAGAGGUUACAGAAUCUUUAAGAUGAUAAUCUUACAUUACAUGUUGCCCUUCCCCAAUGUGUAGCAUGUUUAUUUUGUUAUGUCCUUGGGGAACAUGCUUUGAAAUUAUGUGAUGAUUUAUGUCAUCAUCGCUAUGUUGUUAGAAGCAGGAAAGUAGUUUGGCUUAUUUAUCAUGUAUACAGGGUAGGGGUGGGAAACUGCAUUUCACAUGUAUUAUAUGAUGGGAGAUGGGCUAUUCAAUGUUAUGAAAUUCCAUCUAAAUCGAAGUCACAAUCCAAACCCCAGUUGGAUUGGGAAAAUAUAAAGCCCAAAAGUUGUUAUACUACUCGUCUUAAAAGAAAAUGUCGAGUCAACAGCGGGUUUGCUCAUUGGUGGGCUCGUCUAGCUCAAGAUUUUCAUGUGCUUGUCAUGUGGACCUCAUCAGAUUAUCUUCCAAUGGUGAGUCCCAUCAAACACUAGAGUUUCAUUAUGAUCUACUUGAAAGUCCUUUCUAUCACAUUUCAUUAAAGCUUUCCAUAAUUUUACUGCCAACUCCAUCAGAUCAGGUCUCAGUGUUGAAUUCCAUCAAGGCCUACUCGAAGGUCCUUCGUAUCAUAUCUUAGUAAAGCCCUCCAUAGUUUUAAUGCAACCAAAUGCAAUCAUCAAGUCAUUGCUUACGACCAAUCCCAUUUUACUUGCAACUGCGGACACUAUCAUCAAGUUAUUGCUUGACAUGCUCCAUGACCCUACAAUAAUCAAGUUAUUGCUUGACAUCGCUCCAUGACCCUACAAUAAUCCUAUGCUAUAGAUCACCGGUACAAAAAGGGUCACACCAAGCUCUUCGUCUAUAUAAGUUACCUCGUUCUCUAACAAGAGGCAAACUCUUUCUUAUCGCAACCACUUCCAAGUUCUACUAUAACUCUCCAAACUUUUGUGACUCUUGAUACAUCAAUGUUAACUGCAUCCAACUGUCGUCCCCAAAUCUUGUAUCAACAAAAAGCCAUAACAAAAGUAAGAGAAAAGACACAGAAAAUCACGAAAGAAACAUAACAUCAAUAGUAGCAGUGAAGAAGAAUUGCAUUCGGAAUCAAAGUCAAGGCAGAAGCAACGAAAGAACAAGCGAAGCUAUGAUAAGAAAUGACUUGCAUGCACAAAAUUGGCAACUUGGAGGUGAGGAUGUAGUGUUGGUUUUAUCUCGAAUUAUUUCAUGGCUAAUGAUUGAUUUAGUGUUGCGGUUUUAUAAUUACUGGAUGCAGCUUGCCAUACAAAAAACGGCUCAGCCAUAAGCCUAGAUGGAGGCUAACAACUAACUGUUGCAAAUUCAUGAAUCCAAUUCCCCCACGUUGGCUAUCUAAGAUGCUUUAAGAUCCGUCGGCUGUAAGCUUUAAAAGUGUCCAUUUCCACAUACUCUCAAAAUCUUCGGAUUGGGUUAAUUUGAAUUUUAAAAAAUUGAAAUCAAAUUAUUUUGGAUUAAUUUUCGAAUUUAAAUCGUGUUGGAAUUGUUUUAAAUUUAAGUUAUUUGAGACAUUUCAUGUUGAGAUACUUUUAAAUUAAAUAUUGCGAUAAAUUUAAAUAUGGGUUGAACAUGUUUAAAAUAUUAUUAUUUUUAUAUAUUAAAUAAGUGAGUGAAAUUUUCAUUUUAGAUUUUGAAAAUCGAGUUAAGAAAUGCAAAACUAAAGAUAAAUGUACUUUAAGUAGUAUGGAUUCUAUCGAGCUUCGUGUUAAAUUAAUUAUUAAUUAAUUUUUUGGGACAAAUUAUAGAGUAAAUAUUUGAAUAUUAAAAUAUACAUUAAAUUCUUAGUCUUUGUGUAUUUGAAAUUUAGACUUUAUACUUUUCUUUUUAGAAAUUUAAUCAUUCUAUUUUUCAAAUUUCAUAAUUCAAAUUCAAUUGUUAACAUCAUUAUAUUUUUCUAUUAAAUUCGCUGAUGUGACAUUUUAAAAUUAAAAAAUAAAUAUUCACUUAGUAGUCAUGUAACAAAAAAAAAAUAACAUUGCGAUGAAUUUCGAUUUAACAAAUAAUUUUAGUAGUUUUAAUAACUAUUAAAAGUUUCAUCUAAUAUUUUAAUCAAAACAAAGUAUGGUAACUAUUCAAUUAUAUUGUACAAAUUUGAGAUAUCAAAUUAUGUCAAAAAGUUGAAAAAUAAAAAUUAAAUCUUAAAUUUAGUGUAACAAAGGAAUCAAAAUUAAAAUUUUACCAUUAUUAUGUAAUUUAGAAUUUGAGUUUAUCACGAUAUUAAAUGUAAAAAAUUAAAAUCUUACUAUUUUAUUAUGUAAUGAAAAAAAAAAGAUUAUAUAGAUUUGUCUAGGGGUGAGCAUUGGAUCGAAUUGAGUGAAAAAAUAUCGAGUUAAUCAAGUUGAUGAAUUAUAUUUUAUCAUCCUAACUCAAUUUGAAAUUUUUUCUAAUCGAAUCGAGUAAAAUGAAAUUCAAAUCAAGUAAAAUUGUUCGAAUUAAACUAAAAAUUAAAUAUGUCAAAUUAAAAUCUUAUUACGAUAUAACUAAUUUCAUAUUAUAGCCCAUUAAUUUGAAACCAUAUAUAUUUAAAAUCAUUUUCAAAGAAAAAAAUUUGUAUGAUAAACUUGAAUCAUUAAUUAACUUAUUUAAAUCCUCAAAAUUAUUGUUCUAGGAAAUUUUUAAUUUCUUAAUUUUAUUUAUUUUUUUAGAAUUUUUUUAAAAUUUUUAUAAUUUUUUAAAAAUAUAAAAUUUAGAAUUUUUAUAAAUAUUUUAAAUUUUAAAAAUUAUUUUGAUGUAAUUUUUGUUAAGAGAGAGACUAACUUAUUUAUUUUCAAAUUUGAUAAGGACCAAAAAAAUAUUUAUAUCAAAUUAUUAUUUAAAUUAUUAAAAUGAUUCGAAUUAUAAAUUUUAUAAAAUUUAGCUGAAUUUGAAUUAUUUUUUAAUUUUUUUUUUUAAAUUGAAUUGAGUUUUGCUGCUGUUGUAUUUGCCCCUAGAAUGAAAUGCCCGUGCGUCCUUCAAAACGACAUGAAAACAGAGCAGCCAAAGUACCGCCGAACUCAGUAAUGACAGCAGUGAAACUAAAACCAUAUCCUUUCCAACAAAAAUAUCAGAUGGAAAUUCCCAUCAAAUGUUGUCUUCAAAGAUUCUGAAAAAGCCAUUUUCUUCAUCUUCAACUAAAACCUUAUUAGACAUAAUUUCCCAACUUUCUCUUCAACAAAAACAUCCCAUUGCCUCAAUCAAACCCAUACUUUUAACCCUCAAAUCCAAACCCAAUUUUGCUCUUAACUUCUUCAAAUGGAGCCAAAGUUUCUCAAAAUCGCCCCACGGUUUACCUUCCUACUGUGCACUCAUUCACAUCUUUCUCUGCCAUCGAAUGUUUGGUGCCGCAGCUCAGGUGUUCGAGGAAAUGAUGGACCAUGUAGAUACAAAUAUCGAUGUUCUUGAUGCUUUUAAUGAAGGGUUUAGGGAUUUUGGAUCCAACCCAAAUGUCGUUUUUCGGUUUUUGUUGGAAAGUUACAGCAAGAAUGGGAAAUUGGAUAUGGCUUUCCAUGUGUUCAUGGAAAUGGCUAAAAGGAGGCUUUACAUCUCAAAUAAUUUGGCUUUUAGGAUGCUGAAUUCUUUAAUGAAUGUGAAUUGUGUUGAUAACUAUGGUGAAUUUUGUAGAUUUUUUAGAACACGAGGUUUUUGUGUGUAUGGGAUUGUGAUGGAAGGGCUUUUGAAGAAUAGGAAGAUUGGAAAGGCCUUGAUUUUUCAUGAAAAGAUGAUUUUGAAGGGUAUAGAGGUUGACAUUGUUGCUUGUAACAAGAUUUUGAAGGGUCUUGCUGUAAAUAAGGAAAUAGGAAUUGCUUCUAAGUUAUUUGAUGUAAUACUAACUUUUGGUCCGUUGCCAAAUGUGGUGACUUUUAGCACACUGAUUAACAUGUAUUGUAAAGAUGGAAAAUUGGAUACAGCAUUUGAGAUUUACAAUGUUAUGAUAAAGAGGAAUGUAAUUCCAGAUUUAAUUCUGUAUUCUAUACUUAUUGAUGGUUAUUUCAAGGCAGGGAGAUUGGAUGAGGGAGAGAAGCUCCUCUCUGUGGCUCUAGAUCGAGGUAUCAAGUUGGAUGUGGUUGUUUUCAGCUUGGUUAUGGACGCUUAUGGCAAGGUAGGGGAUUUGGGGAGAGUGGUUCAGGUUUAUAAGAGAAUGUUGGAGGAAGAUUUAUCACCAAACAUGGUGAGUUACAGCAUUCUCAUAAGUGGUUUGUGUGGAAAUGGUAGGAUGCUUGAAGCUUGUGGCAUAUUUGGUCAAAUUAUCAAAAGGGGUUUUGGGCCUUCUCUCAUAACCUAUGGUAGCCUCAUUGAUGGUUUCUGCAAGAUGGGGAAUUUGAAGGAUGGUUUUCAUCUAUUUGAUGAUAUGAUAGAGAAGGGCCAUCAACCUGAUGUUGUUGUUUAUAAUGUGUUACUACAUGGUCUUUGCAAAAAAGGGAUGGCUAGAAGUGCUCUUAGGUUCUUCUUUAACAGUGUAAGCAAGGGUCUAAAAUCCAAUAUCUUCAUUUUUAACUCCUUGAUGGAUGGUUUUUGUAGGUUGAAACAGUUAAGGAAUGCUGUGAAGGUGUAUAUGUUAAUGGGAAUGUAUAGCGUAAAACCAGAUAUAGUAACCUACACUUUGCUUGUUAGAGGCGCUUCAAAGCAAGGAAAACUGGAUGCAGCACUGUUAGUUUUAUUUCAAAUGCUGAAGAGGGGUUUCCCUGGAGAUGCUAUAACAUACUGUACCCUCAUGGAUGGAUUCUGCAAACAUAAAAAUCCAACUGCUGGAUUGCAGAUAUUUAAACUGAUGCAAACGAAUGGAGUGGUUCCUGAUAUUGCUGUAUAUAAUGUUCUCCUCAAUAUGCUUCUCAAGGACUCUCAUCUAGAAGAGGCAUCAAAGCUUUUCAGGCAACUUGUUGAGAAAGGGCCAAAACCUGAUAUCAUAACGUACAACACAAUGAUAUGUGGUUACUGCUCGUUGCAAAGAUUGGAUGAGGCGAUUAGCCUCUUUCAACAGCUGACUUCUCUCUUUGGACCCAAUUCAAUUACCUAUACUAUAUUAAUUGAUGCUUUCUGCAAGGAGGGUAGAAUGGAUGAAGCUAUGUCAAUGUUUUCCAAAAUGUUGGAGAAGGGUCCUGAACCCAAUGUGGUAACAUACGGUUGUCUAAUUGAUGGCUACUUCAAAUCUCAGGACAUGAGGACUGCCACUGAGCUUCACGAAGAGAUGCUCGAAAACCAAAUCAGUCCGAAUAUUGUCAGUUAUAGCAUCCUCAUUGACGGCUUUUGCAAACAAGGAUUAAUGCUGGAAGCAUCUCUUGCAUUCUGCUGUGCUCUAGAUAGACAUUUAUUGCCUGAUGUAGUUGCGUAUUCAAUUCUGAUUCGUGGUUAUUGCAAAGUUGGUAGAUUAGUUGAGGCCAAGCUGUUAUGUGAACAGAUGUUCAUGGAGGGAGUAAUGCCGGAUGAUUUGUUAGAACGAACCUUGGUGGAAUAUAAUCUCUAAAAUACCAUGGAAAACAAGUCAUGUACAGAGAUCUUUUCAUAGUCCACUAAUUUGUGCUCAUGGAUGACUGAUUUUUCACUCUCUGCAUCUUACCAGGUAAUUUCUACUCUGCUUUACAUUUACAGGGCCGAAUUAUACUUCUAAUUUACAUGCUCCAUUGAGAUCUUUGCCAUACAUUAACUUAGUGCUUACUAGAUUUUAGGAUCAAAAUUUUGUACAUUGCAUUUCCUGUAGAGUUCUAAUUAUAUAGUUAGCCAUUGGAACUUAAAAGGUUUUGAAACUGAGUAAUCGAAUAGCAGGUCAGUUUGUUUCCCUGAGUCUCGAGAUUUUUCAUCUCAAGUUCGUAAAAUUCAACUACUAAUGAAACUGUUUCAACCUUUCUUCAGGGUUGCAUCGUUUUGAAGGAAAUGCCUGUAAAGAGAUCUUUCAACGAUAAUGUGAAUUCUUUUCCCCAUUAUUGCUGUACCUACAUUGAGGACUUUAAACAUAAGUGAGCGACUAGGCAAGAAAUACAGGUUAGAAUUUGCCUAGCCAAGGAUAUGAACCUAAGAUAAAUAUGCCCCUAACCUUGAUUACCUUGCUUCUUUUUUUUUUAUCAUUACAAUAUUCAUUGUUCAAAACAAAUGUUGGCGAUUGAAUCUGGUGCAGUUGGAAAGUGUCUUUAUUUAGCUUAAUUGAAGCUAGUAUUAGUUUUAAUGGAACUGGCCUAUAUCAAUUUUCAACAUUACAAAUUGCUUUUCAAUACUUUCUCUUUGACUGUAACAUUUUCAGAAUCAUUUAAAAAGGAAAUUCUUUGUAAGAUAUGCAUUUAUUUAAAUUUUAGUGUGAGAUAUUAAAUUUGUUUAAAUAAUAAAAUAAUGGAAAAGAGUUUUUUUAUUUGUAAUUUAUGCAUUUAAAUAGAUUGAGUGUUAUUAAAUUUACUUAAAUAUCAAAGUGUCUCUGAUCCUCAAGUUGUAGCUUAUUGAUUUGGAAUAAUUUGAGUUUAAAUCAUCAUUGUACCCAAAAAAAUAGCACUUGAGUUUAAAUCAUCAUUGUACCCAAAAAAAUAGCACUUGAGUUUAAAUCAUCAUUGUAUCCUAAAAAAUAGCACUUAUGGUAUGAAUGAUUAAAAGUAAGUAAAACUCCAUUUGACUUUAAAAAAAUUGAAAAAAAAUUAAAUUUUAUAUUAAUCAUAAUUUAUCACAAUAUAUUAAACAAAUAAGUCUAUCUUAAAAUUCUAAAACAUUUUUCUUACUAUAAAAAAUAAUUUAUUCUAAUAGUAAGUCUUUAAAAAUCAUAGAAAUAAUAGGGAACUUAGUUUUAAGAUAAAUGUUUAUCAAAAUUUUAGUUUUGAUUGGUAUAUUUAAAAUUGUAAUCAACACCAUGUUUUUCAUCACUAUGUGUCACUAAGUUAUAAGUACCACAUGUAGAUUGUUAUCUAAAAUGUUUGUGUAUCUUGUGAUAUAAUAUAUUUAUCUGGUUCUUUUAUAUUGUAUUUUAUUUUUUUAUUUAAAAAAAGGUAAAUUAAUCUUUGUACAUUAAAAAAAAGUACAAAUUAAUUUUUCUAUUAAAAAUUUCAUCUACAUGUAAUGUUAAGUGAUGAUUUAGAAUUUUUAAAGUUUUUCUUUUAUGCAAGUGACGUGGAAUUGAAGGAUGAGUAGGAUCAAUUAAAAGUGAUAUGAAGGCUCUUUUACCAAGAGUAGGAUUGCAUUUUGCCUCCGCUACUAAAAAAAUAGAUAAAUUAAUCUAUGUACGUUAGGUUAAAGAGAAAUUUAUCAUUUUGUUAAAAAUUCCUUUUAGUUCUACUUUUAAGUCAUGAUAUGACUGACAGAGCAACUAGAUAGCAAUACGUGAUGCAUUUGGCCACAUCAGCAAAUAUUUAAAAGUUUUGUACUAAAAAGAAAAAAAUAUUUAAAAUUUUAAAAAUUCUCAAAAAAAUAUUUUAAUAAUUAUUUAAAAAAUCACAUCUAAGAUGAACAUAAACUUUGUUUCGGUUCAUCUUAUGCGUGAUUUUUAAGUAGUUAUAAAAAUUAUUUAAAAAUGAUAAGAAAUUAUGAUUUUUCUUAAAUUAUUAAAAAUAAUUAAAAUUAUGUUUAUAAUGAACUUGGGAAAAUAGUUGUCCAGGUUCAAAUGAGCCUCGACAACCAUGUAUCUAGGUUCAUUCAGGAGUUGUUUCUUAAAUAAUUAUCAAAUAAUCAUACAAAACUAUAGAAAAUUAUUUCGAAGUUAUUAAGAAUUAUAAGAAAUUAAUAAAAUAAACAACAAUCAUAUAAGAAGAGACAUGUAUCUCUAGGUAUAGUUGAAUUGUUUUAACAUGCUAUAUGUGUAUAUAUAAGUUUUUUUAAUCAUUAUUUAUAAACUAUUAUAAUUCUUAAUAAUUUUUUUUAUAAUUUUUAUAAUUAUUUAAUAAUUAUUUGAGAAACUAUUUUAGAAUGAAUUUGGACAACCAUUUGUCCAGGAUCAAUAAAAAAAUUGUUUUUAAUAAAUUUUAGUAUUUUUUUUAAUUUUUAUAAUUCUUAAUAAUUUUAAACAGUUUUCUAUGUUUUUAUAUUUUUUUGAAAAAUUAUGUCUAAGUUGAAAUGAAUUAGGACAACUCUUUUUCCA